rnacentral:rRNA from 1 species
CCUACGGGAGGCUGCAGUGAGGAAUAUUGGUCAAUGGGCGAGAGCCUGAACCAGCCAAGUCGCGUGAGGGAAGACGGUCCUAUGGAUUGUAAACCUCUUUUGUCGGGGAGCAAAAAGGCCUCGUGAGGCCACAAGUGAGAGUACCCGAAGAAAAAGCAUCGGCUAACUCCGUGCCAGCAGCCGCGGAAAUACGGGGGAUGCGAGAGUUAUCCGGAUUUAUUGGGUUUAAAGGGUGCGCAGGGGGACGGGAAAGUCAGCGGUAAAAUCGAGAGGCUCAACCUCUAUCCGCCGUUGAUACUGUAGGUCUUGAGUGGGCGAGAAGUAUGCGGAAUGCGUGGUGUAGCGGUGAAAUGCAUAGAGAUCACGCAGAACGCCGAUUGCGAAGGCAGCAUACCGGCGCCCGACUGACGCUGAGGCACGAAAGCGUGGGUAUCGAACAGGAUUAGAUACCCUGGUAGUC